UACAGAGGGUGCGAGCGUUAAUCGGAAUUAUUGGGCGUAAAGCGCACGUAGGUGGUUAUACAAGUCAGAUGUGAAAGCCCUGGGCUCAACCUGGGAACUGCAUUUGAGACUGUAAGACUAGAGUAUGGGAGAGGGAAGUGGAAUUUCCGGUGUAGCGGUGAAAUGCGUAGAUAUCGGAAGGAACACCUGUGGCGAAAGCGGCUCACUGGACCAUUACUGACGCUGAGGCACGAAAGCUAGGGGAGCAAACAGG
rnacentral:rRNA from 1 species